ensembl:lncRNA LINC01801 long intergenic non-protein coding RNA 1801
AGCAGCACUGGGUCAGCCGGUGAACGGGUGUGCAGCGUCCUCAGCGCCGCAGCAGUCAGCACCUGUGGGUGCUCUAGCUCUUUCCCUCGGGGUCACCGGAGGCAGAGCCUCCCCUACGCGGAGUAGAGGAGCAGCUCACAUGCCGCCACAGAGGACACCAGAUCAUGCCAACACCCCCACAACUCCUGCCCGCCUGCAGGCAGCUCUGGGCUCAGGACACCGCCUGCAAGAACCUUUAUAGCGCAGCUCUCCAAACCUUGGAGGCGAGGACAUUCUAUGUGCCCGCCCUGGAAAGGCCUGAACCUAUAACAUCUGGGCUGUGAUGGUUUCUGAGGUGGACACCAGGACCAACACUUGUCAGCAUGGCACAAUCAGGCAUUUCUCUUCUAAGUAGGAUGUGCAGCCAAAAACUCAGCUGUCUGUGAGCUGUCUUCUCCCAGGAACGAGGACAUAAGAUGUACAUCAGGUCUGAACUGCACAGAUCCACUUACAUGUGGAUUUUCUUCCACUGCGGCCUCUCCUGAGACAGCAAGACCAACCCCUCCUUUUCAUCCUCCUCCUCCUCCUCAGCCUACUCAACAUGAAAAUGACAAGGAUGAAACCUUUAUGAUGAUCCACUCAUCCAUUUUCUUUUCUCUAGCUUAUUGUGAACAUCUUAGGCUAGUGUGUCGACUUCUGACUUGGCUCAUCUGAACCCAAGUCCUUGGACACAUUCACAAACACCCCAGGGUCUUGGGCUUCCAGUUUGUGCUAGAAGGACAAAGGGCAGGUGAAGCUUGUUUGCCGUAACUAGAAGGAGCAGAAACUGCUCCCAGCAGAACAAGAUCAAAUCAUGGGGAACAGUGGUCACCUGCCAUUUCUAGAGGAAGCUUUUGCUUUUGGUCACUGAGGACCCUAAGUCUUACAUGAGAAGAAAACAAAUAGGGUGAUGCUGCAUGCUUCUGUCCCCAAAGAAUCCCUGUGCAGGUGCCGAGGGUGCCCCAAAGACGAGGCUGUGCUUGCCGUGCCCACCACAGAAGCACAUUUGACCUGAUCAAAAGCAGGUGGAAAAGGUCCUGAAGCACAGAUAUUUUCUCAGUGAUGUUGUUUUCUCCAAAAUGAAAGAGGGAAGGUACCCUGGCUUAGGCCCCUGGUGUUCUGAUUGAAGGUGAGAAUGGAAGUAUCUUCUUCAACAUGUUCUCCCAUCUGACUGCAACAAGUGUGCUCCAGCCACCAGUGUCCCAGUUGCUCUGAAUGAUGGUGAGAAGGGUACCCAAACACUUGAAUGGUACUGUACCCUCUACUUGCCAUCUGAAUCCUCACUUGUGGAACCCAGGCACUCUGGCUGUAUUCGCGAGUAAGCAUAGGUGUGGGACUGUGUCCUGCCAUUGCACCAUCUUUAAUCUGGACUUGUGGACCUCAGGCUCUCUGACUAUUCAUGGACAGAAGUUUCUGCAGGCACAGGUGGGGUGCUGUUUCCUCCCAUUGUACACCUGAAUUCAGGACUUGUGGACCCCAGGUGUUCUGGCUGUGUUCAUGAACAGAAGUGUCCCCCCCAAACAAACCCAUAUAUGGUGCCAUCUCCUCCCAUUACAGGUAUGGUGCCAUCUCCUCCCAUUGCAGGCAUUGCACUGCCUAUACUCUGGACUUAUGGCCCUCACAUGCUCUGAUUGUAUUCAUAAACAGUAGUUUCUUCAGUCACAGAUAUGGCACCAGCCCCUCCAACAGAAACAGAUGUGCUCAAGCUGAGUGGUCCAAAGGCGUUUGACAGAAGUCAUGAACAGAAGUAUCUUGGGGCACAUGUUUCUUCUCUGUUGUGCAGGCUUCUCCAGCAGUAACAGGUUUGCCCAGGCCAUAUGGGCCCCAAGCGCUCUGACCAGACACAAGAAGAGAAGACUUGCAGUCACAGGUAGUGUGUUGUCCCCUGCUACUGCAACAUAGGUGCUUGGAAAGGUGCAACAGGGUGCUCUGCUUGUGGUGGAAACAUAAAGGCCUCCAAGC